rnacentral:tRNA from 1 species
GGAUUGUGGCUUGGCGGUAGAGCGCUUGCCUAGCAAGUGCAAGGCCCUGGGUUCUAUCCUCAGCACCA